GACGUAGGGCGCGAGCGUUGUCCGGAUUUAUUGGGUGUAAAGGGAGCGUAGACGGCGUCGCAAGUCUGAAGUGAAAGCCCGUGGCUCAACCGCGGAACCGCUUUGGAAACUGCGAGGCUGGAGUGCUGGAGAGGUAAGCGGAAUUCCUAGUGUAGCGGUGAAAUGCGUAGAUAUUAGGAGGAACACCAGUGGCGAAGGCGGUCUGCUGGACAGCAACUGACGCUGAGGCGCGAAAGCGUGGGGAGCAAACAGG
rnacentral:rRNA from 1 species